rnacentral:rRNA from 1 species
UCUCGGCCAUACCACCUUGAACACGCCCAAUCUCGUCUGAUCGCGGAAGCUAAGCAGGGUCAGGCCUGGUUAGUACUUAGUACUUGGAUGGGAGAAAAUGCCUCAACCAGUA